rnacentral:rRNA from 1 species
CUUUAGCUAAACUUACACAUGCAAGUAUCCGCAUCCCCGUGAGAAUGCCCUACAGUUCCCUGCCCGGGAACAAGGAGCUGGUAUCAGGCACACUUCGACUAGCCCAUGACACCUUGCUUAGCCACACCCCCAAGGGAACUCAGCAGUGAUAAACAUUAAGCCAUAAGUGAAAACUUGACUUAGUCAAAGCUAAGAGGGCCGGUAAAACUCGUGCCAGCCACCGCGGUUAUACGAGAGGCCCAAGUUGAUUGACAUCGGCGUAAAGCGUGGUUAAGGCCAAAAAUGAAACUAAAGCCGAACACCUUCAGAGCUGUUAUACGCAUCCGAAGGCAAGAAGUUCAACCACGAAGGUGGCUUUAUAACCCCUGAACCCACGAAAGCUAAGAUACAAACUGGGAUUAGAUACCCCACUAUGCCUAGCCAUAAACAUUGGUAGCACAUUACACCCACUACCCGCCUGGGAACUACGAGCAUCAGCUUGAAACCCAAAGGACUUGGCGGUGCUUUAGAUCCACCUAGAGGAGCCUG